rnacentral:rRNA from 1 species
UACAGAGGGUGCAAGCGUUGUUCGGAAUUAUUGGGCGUAAAGGGCGCGUAGGCGGUGCCACAAGUCGCCUGUGAAAUCUCCGGGCUUAACUCGGAGCCUGCAGGCGAAACUGUGGUGCUGGAGUGUGGGAGAGGUGCGUGGAAUUCCCAGUGUAGCGGUGAAAUGCGUAGAUAUUGGGAGGAACACCAGUGGCGAAGGCGGCUCACUGGACCGGUUCUGACGCUGAGGCGCGAAAGCGUGGGGAGCAAACGGG